rnacentral:rRNA from 1 species
GAUGAACGCUGGCGGCGUGCUUAACACAUGCAAGUCGAACGAUGAAGCCCAGCUUGCUGGGUGGAUUAGUGGCGAACGGGUGAGUAACACGUGAGUAACCUGCCCUUAACUCUGGGAUAAGCCUGGGAAACUGGGUCUAAUACCGGAUAGGAGCGUCCACCGCAUGGUGGGAGUUGGAAAGAUUUAUCGGUUUUGGAUGGACUCGCGGCCUAUCAGCUUGUUGGUGAGGUAAUGGCUCACCAAGGCGACGACGGGUAGCCGGCCUGAGAGGGUGACCGGCCACACUGGGACUGAGACACGGCCCAGACUCCUACGGGAGGCAGCAGUGGGGAAUAUUGCACAAUGGGCGCAAGCCUGAUGCAGCGACGCCGCGUGAGGGAUGACGGCCUUCGGGUUGUAAACCUCUUUCAGUAGGGAAGAAGCGAAAGUGACGGUACCUGCAGAAGAAGCACCGGCUAACUACGUG